GUGUGUUCGUGUGAGCGUGUAAGGAAAGAUAACUGACGCUUAACCGCAAUUAUAAAAAACUAGUCUGAAAUUAAAUGAGUUCCUAACCGCUCCGAAUGACUGACAAUGUGAACGGUAGAAAUCCACAGCGGCGCCGACAGAGGAGCAGCAGCGCCUGACGUCUCAGGCAAGCUUGAGCCCAGAUAAAUCAUCAGCGUUUAUGGAUGUUAGUGAUACGGAUUCUGCUCUGCAUAGUAAAGACUUAACUUGAUUGUGUAGAUGCAGCAACAAGCUAUGUUUACAGACAGAGGUUGAGUGGUCCGGGUCCUUUCUGUGUGGAGUUGGCAUGUUCUCCCCGUGUCUUCGUGGGUUUCCUCCAGAUGCUCCGGUUUCCUCCCACAGUCCAAAGACAUGCAAGUGAGGUGAAUUGGAGAUACAGAAUUAUGACAAAAAUUGUUUGACAUUAAAUACUUGAACUGAUGAAUUUUGUGUAACAAAUUACUACCUAUCCUGUCGUAAAU